CUCUUCAUUCUUUAAAAAAAAACAAAAAGAAGGCUCUUAACCUCCCCUUUCCUUAUUGCGAUUUCCGACCAAACUCUGGCUGAUCACCACCGCGUGCGCCGCUGUCAACACCACCGUAUACGGCGGUCGGAUGACCAAAAACCUCUGUUUUCAGGCGAAAUGAAAGGUAAAUUCAUUCUGUCCUUUCCUUCCUUUUGUUUUUAGAUAUAAAAAAUAAAACAAAAUGAAAAAAAAAUAGAUAAUAAAACGAAUGGAAAUCACCUCUUUUCUAUGUAUAUUUUCUUUUUUAUGUAUGUGUGCAUAUUUUUGCUAUUGUAUUCGUAAAAAGAGAAAGAAGAUCCCCAUACAUUUGAUUCUAUUCGGUUUUUAUAGCCGAAAAAAUAAAAGAGAAAAAAGAAAGAAAAAAAUCCAAUUUCCUUGCUGUCAUUUCAUUAUUUUUUUGUUGCUUUUCGUUGCUAUUUAAUCUUUGCUGUUAUUCACUGUAAAUCUGUAAUCUUCUCACAGGUUCUAAGAUGGUCGUACGAAGGAAGUUCGUGGUGACGUGGAUGAGGCAGUUGGAGGUUGCAGCGCAAGGAUGACCUAGGGUUUCCUAGGUUGGCUGAUUGCUUAGGUUUUGGGCCAUGGGUAUUGGGCUUGACAGUCGCGCUUGGAAUUUAGGUUAAGGUUAUUAGGCUCGUAACAUGGACAUUGGACUAAUAAGUUUGGACUUUUAUUGAUUUUUAUUUUAAUUUAUUUUUGGUUUGUUUUCUAUAAUGGGCUCGGGCAGAUUGGGCCUUCUACACUCACUAAGUGCGUGACUAGGUUCUUUAGGAAAGUACGGAUCCAAGGGAUGUUGCCAAUUGCUCGAUCUAGUCUUUCAAAUAUCCCUCAUCUUUGCCAUGUGAAGAAGGGUCUUCGGAAUCUUAAAUCCUGUAACUCAUUUUUUUCAACAAAAUCUUCAAAUAGAGGACAGUGUUUUCCAUCAGAAAGCCCUCCAUUCUUCUUAUUUUUGGACAAAAUCGAAUUAAAAUCACCAAUAGCCAACCAGGGAGUAUCGGUCGUUGGAAUAGUUUCCUUUAAAGCUUCCCACAAACAACUCAUCUUUGUUUUAUUAGGGCUUCCAUAGACGAAAGCUAUUAGAGCUUUUUGGACAUGGAGUCCAUACGAUAUCUGUGUGAGAAUGUAUUGAGGAUGAUUUUGGAGAAUUUCAAGGUUGACGGAGAACUUCCAACCAAUCCAUAUUCCCCUUGAAAUUCCUCUAGCUUCCACUCGGUGAGAAUGUUGUAAUCCUAAUUUUGCAAUUAUUUUGUCCACUUUGCGACCACUGAUUCUAGGUUCUAAUAAACUAAUGAUGUCUAGUUGGUGUUCACUAUUAUACUCCUUAAAAGUAUGUGAAAAUUUUUCACUUGCAUAUACUUGGCAAUUCCAUGAUAAAAUUGAAAUUCUAAAGGCCAUUUGUAUAAAAAGACGAAAGUAGCAAUGAAGCUUUUUAAAUUACUGCUUGUUUUCUGCCUUAUCUCCUACUUUUUCGACUGUCCCUUUAGGGACUUCAUUUACUAGCCCUUGUUGGACUUGGUUUUGCAAUAGUUCAACCAUACUACUAAUGGAUUCAGAUAUUGUAAUUUUUGAUGGAGUAACCUUAAAGGGAGUGCCUUUUUCUUUGUUGACUUUGAGAUUUCUUCCUUUUUGGGAGUUCAUUGUUUUCAUAAUGUUGCCUGUCGUUAGAGAAACAGCCUGGUGCCCGCCUGCUUUAUCUCUAUUCUUCUAUACUGGCCCUUCUUUUUUAACUUAGUAUUUUCUUUAAAAAGCACUACUAAGUGCUUGCUGUGUCAAGGAUGCCUGUUGUUGGGAGCUUCACAAUUUCUUGCAGAAGUUGCAAGCUUGGGUGAUUAGAGUGCUCCUCAUUAUUUCCUACAGCACUUUGGCUUAAUUUUCCCAAAGGUUUCGACCUACACAGGAAGUCCGAACCUUUGUUGUUGUCAUCACUGCAAAUUGGAUCUGAUUUUUCUUUGCUUGGAAUCUUAAUUGCUUUCUCCAUUGGGCCUGGUUUGGCGCAUUGAAUCUGACCCAUUAUGAGAACCUGCAGCAUUUUCUUUUGGACCCAAUAUGAAUUUAUUAUUCGCGUUAUUAUUAUCUUGAUCAGUCCAGUAGUUUCCAUGUCAACUAUCAUUGCCUGAUGCUGACUCAUGUUUUGUGAUAUUAGGCUUGCAAUGUCUCUUUUAUCCAGAUCCAUAGGCCCUUGCCUUAGUUUGGCUCUUCCCACUUUCACGCCAGUUUUCUUGUUGGACCAAGGAAGGUCUUUUAUUUGUUGCCCCAGGUUCAGCCCAUCUGUAUGCUAUUGGGUUUGGAUAAUGUGUAAUACUCCUACCCGUAUUCAUUGCCGGAAUAGGGUACGAGGCAUUAUCGGAGUUUACGAAUUAAAUUUUUUUUUAUAUUCAAUAUAGCUCUUUUAUAAAUAUCUAACAUUCCUUGUAAUAUUAAAUCGAGAUCAAUCUACAUCAACCAAAUCAACUCAACAUAUUUU
rnacentral:lncRNA from 1 species